rnacentral:rRNA from 2 species
GCGAGAAACCUUUGCAAUGUGCGCAAGCACGACAAGGUUAAUCCGAGUGUUUCCUGCUAAAGGAAUCUUUUGUUAGUCCUGAAAACACUAGCGAAUAAGGGGUGGGCAAGUUCUGGUGUCAGCCGCCGCGGUAAAACCAGCACCUCGAGUGGUCAGGAGGAUUAUUGGGCCUAAAGCAUCCGUAGCCUGCUCUGUAAGUUUCCGGUUAAAUCCAUUAGCUCAACUGAUGGGCCGCCGGAAAAACUGCAAAGCUAGGGAGUGGGAGAGGUAGACGGUACUCGGUAGGAAGGGGUAAAAUCCUUUGAUCUAUUGAUGACCACCUGUGGCGAAGGCGGUCUACCAGAACACGUCCGACGGUGAGGGAUGAAAGCUGGGGGAGCAAACCGGAUUAGAUACCCGGGUAGUCCCAGCU